rnacentral:rRNA from 1 species
AGUGAACGCUGGCGGUAGGCCUAACACAUGCAAGUCGAACGGCAGCACAGUAAGAGCUUGCUCUUACGGGUGGCGAGUGGCGGACGGGUGAGGAAUACAUCGGAAUCUACUUUUUCGUGGGGGAUAACGUAGGGAAACUUACGCUAAUACCGCAUAUGACCUACGGGUGAAAGCAGGGGAUCUUCGGACCUUGCGCGAUUGAAUGAGCCGAUGUCGGAUUAGCUAGUUGGCGGGGUAAAGGCCCACCAAGGCGACGAUCCGUAGCUGGUCUGAGAGGAUGAUCAGCCACACGGGAACUAAGACACGGUCCAGACUCCUACGGGAGGCAGCAGUGGGAAAUAUUGGACAAUGGGCGAAAGCCUGAUCCAGCCGUACCGCGUGGGUGAAGAGGCCUUCGGGUUGUAAAGCCCUUUUGUUGGGAAAGAAAAGCAGCAGGUUAAUACCCCGCUGUUCUGACGGUACCCAAAGAAUAAGCACCGGCUAACUUCGUG